rnacentral:rRNA from 1 species
GAAAAACUCCGGUGGUAUGAGAUGGACCCGCGUCUGAUUAGCCAGUUGGCGGGGUAACGGCCCACCAAAGCGACGAUCAGUAGCCGACCUGAGAGGGUGACCGGCCACAUUGGGACUGAGACACGGCCCAAACUCCUACGGGAGGCAGCAGUGGGGAAUAUUGCACAAUGGGGGAAACCCUGAUGCAGCGACGCCGCGUGAGCGAAGAAGUAUUUCGGUAUGUAAAGCUCUAUCAGCAGGGAAGAAGAAUGACGGUACCUGACUAAGAAGCACCGGCUAAAUACGUGCCAGCAGCCGCGGUAAUACGUAUGGUGCAAGCGUUAUCCGGAUUUACUGGGUGUAAAGGGAGCGCAGGCGGUACGGCAAGUCUGAUGUGAAAUCCCGGGGCUCAACCCCGGUACUGCAUUGGAAACUGUCGGACUAGAGUGUCGGAGGGGUAAGUGGAAUUCCUAGUGUAGCGGUGAAAUGCGUAGAUAUUAGGAAGAACACCAGUGGCGAAGGCGGCUUACUGGACG